rnacentral:rRNA from 1 species
AUUGAACGCUGGCGGCAUGCUUUACACAUGCAAGUCGAGCGGCAGCGCGGGGGCAACCCUGGCGGCGAGCGGCGAACGGGUGAGUAAUGCAUCGGAACGUACCCUGGAGUGGGGGGAUAACGCCGCGAAAGCGGCGCUAAUACCGCAUAUGCUCUGAGGAGGAAAGUGGGGGACCGCAAGGCCUCACGCUCUGGGAGCGGCCGAUGUCCGAUUAGCUAGUUGGUGAGGUAAAGGCUUACCAAGGCGACGAUCGGUAGCUGGUCUGAGAGGAUGAUCAGCCACACUGGGACUGAGACACGGCCCAGACUCCUACGGGAGGCAGCAGUGGGGAAUUUUGGACAAUGGGCGCAAGCCUGAUCCAGCCAUGCCGCGUGAGUGAAGAAGGCCU